rnacentral:lncRNA from 1 species
AUUGCAUUCACCAACCAAGACAACCUACAAGUCAUAAUUUCCACAAAGAAGAAAAUCCUACUGCUACACCAUAGAUUCCAUAUAUUACUAACAUUUGAACUACAAAACAUCAUAAUGCCAAUACCAUAUAGCCAAAGUAUGAGUUAUCUCUACAAAACAUAUUUUCACCAUGUCAUUAAAGGAUCAUAUUCGACAACACUUAUCCAACAGGAAACAAACCAUUGUAUCAGAAAUUUCGAAAACCAACUAUAAACAUCAAUCGUGGGCUUCUCCUUUGCCACUCACGUUCUCGCUUCGCUUUCCCUUGCGAAAUGUCACGUUCAAUGAUAUCUCAAUGUCUCAUUUUUUAGCUAUUCAAGCCAGACUGUCGAACAUGCUUGGCAAGUCAUUGACUUCUUCGAUGGCCGCAGGAUAAAAUGCCUCAGUAAUAGUACUCGAUUCUCCGCUUGCUUCUUCGUUGACAACCCAAUCAAAAUAUCCACACUUACUACUACAGGUUCUGAAUAAUCACCCUUUAUUACUAGUCUCCCUUUCAACCUCAAAACACAUCUGCAAUCCCAGUGCGCACCGUGGACAUCGUUGUUUUACUGGGCAAUCAAUAAAGGAGUGCUUCAUGCUUCUACAACCGUGACAAACGCCAACAUUUCGUCCUCCCAUCCUGCUCGACAAAUCAAAAAUUCAACUUUAGUGUCAUUACUAUACAAACUAAUAUGCAGACGACUAUAUAAAUCGAUACACUGCAAGCUUAACAUACACUGCAGAACACAUAUUUCAGCAAAACCAGUGAUUUUCGAGCAACACAUUUCACAGUAUGAAAUGCAGUUCGUAAGAAGCAUUUUACUCUAUAUUACUAUAGAAACUUUCCCAAUUCAGAAAGAACAUUGAUAAUCAGUUCAAGAUGAAGAACAAUGUCAAUUGUUCUAAUUGUAUAAUUUCCAUGUAAUUAUAAGAUGAUUCCAUAUGUAGCCAGAAGAAAGGUGCAAGUGCAAUCACAAACACACCUUCUGCGUCUCGUUGCUCGGAGGUCGUUCUGAGGACGACGAUUUUGGACGACGGAGACGUACUAAGCUGGAGAUGAGUGUAGCGUCUGUGGGCGGAGAUGAUGGUCGGAUUUCGCCUGCGAUGGUUUUGACCUAAGCAACGGCUUCGACCGAUUCAGAUUUCGGGGAGUUACAAUCGGAGAGCAGGGUUGUGGAAUGAGGCAUUGUAGACGGAGAUGGGUAUGUAUAUCACAGCAGCGUUGUGGACGGAGGCGCCAGAAGGAGCACGGUCGACCUUUUCUUCGCGAGAUUUUUAGGGUUUCAACAAAAGGGAGAUUCGAAUUACGAAUGAAUGCGUCUAUUUUGGGCAAGAAUUGGUGUUUUAUUUAUUUGUUUCUUUUCUUCUUUAUUCUACACGAUAUGCCAAUGCCACAUCAUUCUGUUC